rnacentral:tRNA from 1 species
GAGGCUGGAGAUCAGUGGCAGAGCGCUUGCCUCGCACACGAGAGGCACUGGGUUCGAUCCUCAGCACCACA